UGGGACUCUCCAAGACUGAACUCCAGGAGC
rnacentral:piRNA from 1 species